ACAAGGGGUGCUGUUCUGAACCAGACCGAACCGCUGAGAAUAAACCCUUUGAACCUGAUCUGGAUAAUGCCAGCGUAGGAAAUGAAUUAC
rnacentral:ncRNA from 1 species